UAGGGAAUCUUCCGCAAUGGACGAAAGUCUGACGGAGCAACGCCGCGUGAGUGAAGAAGGAUUUCGAAUCGUAAAGCUCUGUCCUAUGGGAAGAUAAUGACGGUACCAUAGGAGGAAGCCCCGGCUAACUACGUGCCAGCAGCCGCGGUAAUACGUAGGGGGCAAGCGUUGUCCGGAAUCACUGGGCGUAAAGGGUUCGCAGGCGGAAAUGCAAGUCAGUUGUGAAAGGCAGAGGCUCAACCUCUGUAAGCAAUUGAAACUGUAUUUCUUGAGAUGUGGAGAGGCAAGUGGAAUUCCUAGUGUAGCGGUGAAAUGCGUAGAUAUUAGGAAGAAUACCGGUGGCGAAGGCGACUUGCUGGACACAAACUGACGCUGAGGAACGAAAGCGUGGGUAGCAAACAGG
rnacentral:rRNA from 1 species